rnacentral:rRNA from 1 species
GGUUAAGCGACUAAGCGUACACGGUGGAUGCCCUGGCAGUCAGAGGCGAUGAAGGACGUGCUAAUCUGCGAUAAGCGUCGGUAAGGUGAUAUGAACCGUUAUAACCGGCGAUUUCCGAAUGGGGAAACCCAGUGUGAUUCGUCACACUAUCAUUAACUGAAUCCAUAGGUUAAUGAGGCGAACCGGGGGAACUGAAACAUCUAAGUACCCCGAGGAAAAGAAAUCAACCGAGAUUCCCCCAGUAGCGGCGAGCGAACGGGGAGCAGCCCAGAGCCUGAAUCAGUGUGUGUGUUAGUGGAAGCGUCUGGAAAGGCGCGCGAUACAGGGUGACAGCCCCGUACACAAAAAUGCACAUACUGUGAGCUCGAUGAGUAGGGCGGGACACGUGGUAUCCUGUCUGAAUAUGGGGGGACCAUCCUCCAAGGCUAAAUACUCCUGACUGACCGAUAGUGAACCAGUACCGUGAGGGAAAGGCGAAAAGAACCCCGGCGAGGGGAGUGAAAAAGAACCUGAAACCGUGUACGUACAAGCAGUGGGAGCCUCUUUAUGGGGUGACUGCGUACCUUUUGUAUAAUGGGUCAGCGACUUAUAUUCUGUAGCAAGGUUAACCGAAUAGGGGAGCCGAAGGGAAACCGAGUCUUAACUGGGCGUUAAGUUGCAGGGUAUAGACCCGAAACCCGGUGAUCUAGCCAUGGGCAGGUUGAAGGUUGGGUAACACUAACUGGAGGACCGAACCGACUAAUGUUGAAAAAUUAGCGGAUGACUUGUGGCUGGGGGUGAAAGGCCAAUCAAACCGGGAGAUAGCUGGUUCUCCCCGAAAGCUAUUUAGGUAGCGCCUCGUGAAUUCAUCUCCGGGGGUAGAGCACUGUUUCGGCAAGGGGGUCAUCCCGACUUACCAACCCGAUGCAAACUGCGAAUACCGGAGAAUGUUAUCACGGGAGACACACGGCGGGUGCUAACGUCCGUCGUGAAGAGGGAAACAACCCAGACCGCCAGCUAAGGUCCCAAAGUCAUGGUUAAGUGGGAAACGAUGUGGGAAGGCCCAGACAGCCAGGAUGUUGGCUUAGAAGCAGCCAUCAUUUAAAGAAAGCGUAAUAGCUCACUGGUCGAGUCGGCCUGCGCGGAAGAUGUAACGGGGCUAAACCAUGCACCGAAGCUGCGGCAGCGACACUAUGUGUUGUUGGGUAGGGGAGCGUUCUGUAAGCCUGUGAAGGUGUGCUGUGAGGUAUGCUGGAGGUAUCAGAAGUGCGAAUGCUGACAUAAGUAACGAUAAAGCGGGUGAAAAGCCCGCUCGCCGGAAGACCAAGGGUUCCUGUCCAACGUUAAUCGGGGCAGGGUGAGUCGACCCCUAAGGCGAGGCCGAAAGGCGUAGUCGAUGGGAAACAGGUUAAUAUUCCUGUACUUGGUGUUACUGCGAAGGGGGGACGGAGAAGGCUAUGUUGGCCGGGCGACGGUUGUCCCGGUUUAAGCGUGUAGGCUGGUUUUCCAGGCAAAUCCGGAAAAUCAAGGCUGAGGCGUGAUGACGAGGCACUACGGUGCUGAAGCAACAAAUGCCCUGCUUCCAGGAAAAGCCUCUAAGCAUCAGGUAACAUCAAAUCGUACCCCAAACCGACACAGGUGGUCAGGUAGAGAAUACCAAGGCGCUUGAGAGAACUCGGGUGAAGGAACUAGGCAAAAUGGUGCCGUAACUUCGGGAGAAGGCACGCUGAUAUGUAGGUGAAGUCCCUCGCGGAUGGAGCUGAAAUCAGUCGAAGAUACCAGCUGGCUGCAACUGUUUAUUAAAAACACAGCACUGUGCAAACACGAAAGUGGACGUAUACGGUGUGACGCCUGCCCGGUGCCGGAAGGUUAAUUGAUGGGGUUAGCGGUAACGCGAAGCUCUUGAUCGAAGCCCCGGUAAACGGCGGCCGUAACUAUAACGGUCCUAAGGUAGCGAAAUUCCUUGUCGGGUAAGUUCCGACCUGCACGAAUGGCGUAAUGAUGGCCAGGCUGUCUCCACCCGAGACUCAGUGAAAUUGAACUCGCUGUGAAGAUGCAGUGUACCCGCGGCAAGACGGAAAGACCCCGUGAACCUUUACUAUAGCUUGACACUGAACAUUGAGCCUUGAUGUGUAGGAUAGGUGGGAGGCUUUGAAGUGUGGACGCCAGUCUGCAUGGAGCCGACCUUGAAAUACCACCCUUUAAUGUUUGAUGUUCUAACGUUGGCCCCUGAUCGGGGUUGCGGACAGUGUCUGGUGGGUAGUUUGACUGGGGCGGUCUCCUCCUAAAGAGUAACGGAGGAGCACGAAGGUUGGCUAAUCCUGGUCGGACAUCAGGAGGUUAGUGCAAUGGCAUAAGCCAGCUUGACUGCGAGCGUGACGGCGCGAGCAGGUGCGAAAGCAGGUCAUAGUGAUCCGGUGGUUCUGAAUGGAAGGGCCAUCGCUCAACGGAUAAAAGGUACUCCGGGGAUAACAGGCUGAUACCGCCCAAGAGUUCAUAUCGACGGCGGUGUUUGGCACCUCGAUGUCGGCUCAUCACAUCCUGGGGCUGAAGUAGGUCCCAAGGGUAUGGCUGUUCGCCAUUUAAAGUGGUACGCGAGCUGGGUUUAGAACGUCGUGAGACAGUUCGGUCCCUAUCUGCCGUGGGCGCUGGAGAACUGAGGGGGGCUGCUCCUAGUACGAGAGGACCGGAGUGGACGCAUCACUGGUGUUCGGGUUGUCAUGCCAAUGGCACUGCCCGGUAGCUAAAUGCGGAAGAGAUAAGUGCUGAAAGCAUCUAAGCACGAAACUUGCCCCGAGAUGAGUUCUCCCUGACCCUUUAAGGGUCCUGAAGGAACGUUGAAGACGACGACGUUGAUAGGCCGGGUGUGUAAGCGCAGCGAUGCGUUGAGCUAACCGGUACUAAUGAACCGUGAGGCUUAACCUU